GGGAUUGCCACCUAGAUGUUGGAUGAUGGAACCCACGCUUAACCACUACCCUGUCCCACCUCCCAGCGAGGGGAAGAGAAACAGCCACAGAGCCUCUGCCUUCUUUUAAAGCACAUGGCUUCACCUUCAGAGUGGAAUGCUGAGCCCUGCCUGGGCUUGCCCUGCGGCGUUUGGGCGAGGAGCUGAGGUCCUUGCAAAGAGUGGUGUGGUUGGUGCAUGGUUGCGUGUGCACUGCCCAGAUGCAGAGUGUGGACUUUGCUCAGAAGCACAGCAUCUGUGAAGCUUUCGGAAAUUAUCCCUCUGGCUCCAGCCCUUUCUAGAGAUCUCCACGCACAUCUCUGCAUGAAGGUUUCAGAGUCACUGGAUUUCCCAGGGCCUUCUCUUUGCUAGGAAUGUCUGAGACGCGCUCUGCAAGAUGAGUUGGCAGCAUCUCUGUGCCUCUGGUUUUGCCAGGCUCCACCAACAUCCCGCUAAGAACUCUUCACCCUCAAGUGCACUGAGGGGAACCCCAGUGAAGGCCAAUGAGGGAAACCACACAUCACUGAGGGCCGACGGAGGCCCCCAAAGCUCAGAUCGCUGUGCUCGCCAGUAGGAUUGAAUGAUUGCUGGGACCACACAAUUUACACUUGGCUCUCGUGGUCCGGAGGGGAGGACUGCGCCAGCAUGAGAAGACCAGAGAGCAAGUAAAUGGAAAUUUGGCGAGAUCCUGUGGCUGCUGUUGGUGGCUGCAGCCAGACAGGAAAACUGAGAUGGUGUGAGCAGAAAGGGCUGGAAGGAGUUGGCUUUUUCCAAGAAAUUACAGCGGAAUCUUCUUCCAAGAGGCUGGGGGCCUCUGCAGACAUGAUCUCAUUACUUACCCCCCAAAUCCCCCAGCUUCCCUACGGACCAAGGACCAGGGGUCUCUGCCCAGUCCUAGCUCCAAGGAAACUCACACUUGGCAGAUUUUCCUAAUCGGAGCUGGCCUUGAAGUUUGCUCACUGAUAAUCACCAGAAAGUCACCCCAACAAUGGGUGAUGCCAGAGUGUCCUCAAGCUUCAAGGGUCCGUAAAAACACUUGACUCCCCCAGGACAAAAAUGACUGGGGGAAACAUGCAGUUCUUCAAAGAGAACGGUUUCAUUCUGUACCAAAGGGUGUCUUAAUUUGCCUUGGCAAGAGAGGCAGCACCGUGUUGUGGGUGGACAGCACUCGGGGGGUGGACGGCACUCGGG
rnacentral:lncRNA from 10 species